rnacentral:rRNA from 1 species
UGCCAGCAGCCGCGGUAAUACGGAGGGUGCAAGCGUUAUCCGGAUUUACUGGGUUUAAAGGGUGCGCAGGCGGCAUAGUAAGUCAGUGGUGAAAGCCCGGAGCUCAACUCCGGAACUGCCAUUGAUACUGCUAAGCUUGAGUUCGGUUGAAGUGGGCGGAAUGUGACAUGUAGCGGUGAAAUGCUUAGAUAUGUCACAGAACACCAAUUGCGAAGGCAGCUCACUAAACCGAUACUGACGCUGAGGCACGAAAGCGUGGGUAGCGAACAGGAUUAGAUA